AUUACAUAAUACCCUGAAGAAGUGACGUACUUUUUUUGGCUGCUAACUGUUCUCUCUGUUGUUCAUUUACAGGUCCAUGCUGGUUUUUUCUCUGCAUCUGUCUCUGUUGCACUGGUGGUGUCAGUAAGCACAAGCUGGAAUGACAUACAGAUGGUUUUAAUUCGCACCGAGGACAGUCUUUGCCUCUAUGAAUAAGAAAGCAUUUUUAAGAACAUCCUUCCUCUACUGAACUGAGUGCUCCUAGUUUCCAGUUCUGCAGUACGUGGUCAGCAGGAUCAGAGCUGGGCCUACAAGGGCAUUCUGCUCUGCCCCCGACCGUGCUGUUGGCGUGUUGCAGGACGCGGACCUGUUAGUGCUGGAGAGCUGAGCAGCCCCAGUGAGCACACCAAAGUACCAGACUGGUAUCAGCUCUGUGAUCAGCCCAAGGACCAGGUGAGAGGCGAUGCCAAGGGGCGCAAAGCGGCACUGGAUGCCAUAAGCCAGCACAAUAGCCAGGCUGCCAAAGGAAGGAAGUGGAAUUCUGGGCAGUUUGGAGGUUUUGAAGACAACCUUGCAAUGCUCAACGGUUCCUGA
rnacentral:lncRNA from 1 species